rnacentral:lncRNA from 1 species
CUCCUUGUUCUCAGACUUGUAUCUGCCUUGGUCCCAAUUGUGCCCCUGCGUUGCUUCACUCCAGGUGACCUGAUUCUGACCAGAGGCGCCAACUCUGGGCUUCUAACUCCAGCUGUGACCCAGGGCUCUGGCACCUGGCCUCCGGAUUCCAGCUCUGACCCUGGACUCUGAUUUCCUGGCUACGGACUCCUGCUCCAAUCUCUAGACAUGACCACCAUGUUCUGAUCACCAACAGGUAUAUCCAAUAUCCAACCUCUACAACAACUGAAAAGAGCAGCAGCAAAAUAUGAUUAAAGGGGAGUAAGCAUGUGCUUGGCUGAGUUGGACCUGAAUGUUCCAAGCCCAAGCUUGGACUUGAAAUGCUGAUACCUGUAGAAUGUAUUCAGUGGUGUGGUCAUGAUGAAAACUCCAGGAUGCUGAUGCUAUGAAAGGUCCAAAAAGAGGGAGACACCCGUUUCAAGGACACAGCAUGGGCCAGGAUGAGGACUAGGAUAAGAAUAAUUUGAGACACCACUCUAUCCAUGCAGUAAUGGAAAGGAAGUUGCCUCUUGCAUCUGUAAAACCGAAGAGCAGUUUUUGUCAUCUUUGCCUUUCUGGAUAUAUCACCUGAAAGUACAAUAUGUAGGUGUCCCCUGCAGGAAGCAGCAGGUAAGAUGUAAAUGGACCUUUGCUUCACUUAAGCCUAAAAUUCCUGUUUGUGAAUCAUCU